rnacentral:rRNA from 1 species
UACGUAGGGUGCGAGCGUUGUCCGGAAUUAUUGGGCGUAAAGAGCUCGUAGGCGGUGUGUCACGUCGGCCGUGAAAACCUGCAGCUUAACUGUGGGCGUGCGGUCGAUACGGGCAUCACUGGAGUUCGGCAGGGGAGACUGGAAUUCCUGGUGUAGCGGUGAAAUGCGUAGAUAUCAGGAGGAACACCGGUGGCGAAGGCGGGUCUCUGGACAGUUCCUGACGCUGAGGCACGAAGGUCAGGGGAGCAAACGGG